UACAGGGGGGGCAAGCGUUGUUCGGAAUUACUGGGCGUAAAGGGCGCGUAGGCGGCUUACCAAGUCAGGCGUGAAAUUCCCGGGCUCAACCUGGGGGCUGCGCUUGAUACUGGUGAGCUUGAAUGCGGGAGAGGAUAGUGGAAUUCCCAGUGUAGAGGUGAAAUUCGUAGAUAUUGGGAAGAACACCGGUGGCGAAGGCGGCUAUCUGGCCCGUAAUUGACGCUGAGGCGCGAAAGCGUGGGGAGCAAACAGG
rnacentral:rRNA from 1 species